UGUUUGCCUGAUGUUCCCCAUGCGUGUCGACUGAUCCCACAAUUCCAUCUGGUUCCCGGCCGCCCGCUGGCUUUCUGACAGGGGGCGUGUCCAGGACUGGAGGAUUCUGGGGCUGUGAUCAUACCCUACAGGUUCUGGAAACA